ACACACACACACACCACACACCACACACACACACACACACACACAGUCUUGUAUAUAUCACCUUGUUAGGACUCUCUGUAGGGCCAUCACUUUUGAGGACUAUGCCUUCCAGGCAACAUAGAGAUAUAUAAAUUAUACCAUUGCGGUCAGAAAAAAAUCAGUAUAAAUGUGUGCACUUGAAAUUAAGUAUACACUCAAGAAAAAAUACAAAAAGCUUUUUUGCCAGCUUCUUAGGACCACAGUGCCCGCCCCACUGCCCGCCCACAAGGCGGGACCAGUGACCAAAAGCUUUUUUGCCAGCUUCUUAGGACCACAGUGCCCGCCCCACUGCCCGCCCACAAGGCGGGACCAGUGUGUGUGUGUGUGUGAGCGUAUGUAACACCUAUGUUAGGACCUGUAAGACCUAGUUAGGACCUACUUCUGUCAACCUGUUUCUGUCCGGUUUGAAAACUUAAUUACUGAUCGAGAAUACCAGCAAUGUCUUAGGUGGCCAGCGUGGCCUAGUAGAGAUGGUUGGAGAGGAUGGUGUUAAGACUGUCAUCCAUUCUGAAUGAGCUGCACCCAACGGAAGACAAUCUAAGCAGCUGCUUAAGAGACCAACUGCUUCACUGAAUGAGUGGAAAGGAGAGGCAGGCCUUACCGUCCUGUUGCUGUUGACUGUAUGAUCAACACUGAUCACACAAUAGCUAGAACCACUUCAAUGUCUGUACUGUACUGCACAUAAAUGGGCAUUUGUUUAACAUCUCUGACUAUUAGUACUUCAAUAUUACUUAGGUUACAUGUGCAAUACCUGUGGGUACUGGGAAGCAGUGAAUACCAAGUAAUUGUUCUUGUAGGUGAACAUUUGCAUGACCAUAUAUAUACAUUACCAGUGUGCAGCAGUGGCAACCAUGCUGAUGUGUGAUGUGAUGCUCAUCAUGUGCAUGUACACAAGGGCCCUAUUCAUAUUAAUCUGGAUGUCACUUCUGCUCUUGCAACAAUGCACACUUCUCAACUGUCAGAAUGAAAGGAUUAUUGUGCACCAACUCAGCACCAAUUAAAUCUGUAAUAUUAUUCCA